GUCACGCUGUAAACGAUGUCGAUUUGGAGGUUGUUCCCUUGAGGAGUGGCUUCCGGAGCUAACGCGUUAAAUCGACCGCUGGGGAGUACGGCCGCAAGGUUAAAACUCAAAUGAAUUGACGGGGGCCCGCACAAGCGGUGGAGCAUGUGGUUUAAUUCGAUGCAACGCGAAGAACCUUACCUACUCUUGACAUCCAGAGAAUUUAGCAGAGAUGCUUUAGUGCCUUCGGGGACUCUGAGACAGGUGCUGCAUGGCUGUCGUCAGCUCGUGUUGUGAAAUGUUGGGUUAAGUCCCGCAACGAGCGCAACCCUUAUCCUUUGUUGCCAGCACGUUAUGGUGGGAACUCAAAGGAGACUGCCGGUGAUAAACCGGAGGAAGGUGGGGAUGACGUCAAGUCAUCAUGGCCCUUACGAGUAGGGCUACACACGUGCUACAAUGGCGUAUACAAAGAGAAGCGACCUCGCGAGAGCAAGCGGAACUCAUAAAGUACGUCGUAGUCCGGAUUGGAGUCUGCAACUCGACUCCAUGAAGUCGGAAUCGCUAGUGAUCGUAGAUCAGAAUGCUACGGUGAAUACGUUCCCGGGCCUUGUACGCACCGCCCGUCACACCAUGGGAGUGGGUUGCAAAAGAAGUAGGUAGCUUAACCUUCGGGAGGGCGCUUACCACUUUGUGAUUCAUGACUGGGGUGAAGUCGUAACAAGGUAACCA
rnacentral:rRNA from 1 species